rnacentral:rRNA from 1 species
GGGCCCGCACAAGCGGUGGAGCAUGUGGUUUAAUUCGAUGCAACGCGAAGAACCUUACCUACACUUGACAUACAGAGAACUUUCUAGAGAUAGAUUGGUGCCUUCGGGAACUCUGAUACAGGUGCUGCAUGGCUGUCGUCAGCUCGUGUUGUGAGAUGUUGGGUUAAGUCCCGCAACGAGCGCAACCCCCAUCCUUAGUUGCCAGCGAUUCGGUCGGGAACUCUAAGGAGACUGCCGGUGAUAAACCGGAGGAAGGUGGGGACGACGUCAAGUCAUCAUGGCCCUUACGUGUAGGGCUACACACGUGCUACAAUGGCGUAUACAGAGUGCUGCGAACUUGCGAGAGUAAG